CCCCGCUCCCAGCGGUGGAGCAUUGGUUUAAUUCGAAGCAACGCGAAGAACCUUACCCAGGUCUUACAUCCUCUGACAAUCCCUAGAGAUAGGACGUCCCCUUCCGGGGGCAGAGUGACAGGUGGUGCAAAAGUCGUCAGCUCGUGUCGUGAGAUGUUGGGUUAAGUCCCGCAACGAGCGCAACCCUUGAUCUUAGUUGCCAGCAUUCAGUUGGGCACUCUAAGGUGACUGCCGGUGACAAACCGGAGGAAGGUGGGGAUGACGUCAAAUCAUCAUGCCCCUUAUGACCUGGGCUACACACGUGCUACAAUGGACAGAACAAAGGGCAGCGAAACGCGAGGUUAAG
rnacentral:rRNA from 2 species